rnacentral:rRNA from 1 species
CCCUUUAGUGCUGCAGCUAACGCAUUAAGCACUCCGCCUGGGGAAUACGGUCGCAAGACUGAAACUCAAAGGAAUUGACGGGGGCCCGCACAAGCGGUGGAGCAUGUGGUUUAAUUCGAAGCAACGCGAAGAACCUUACCAGGUCUUGACAUCCUCUGACACUCCUAGAGAUAGGACGUUCCCCUUCGGGGGACAGAGUGACAGGUGGUGCAUGGUUGUCGUCAGCUGCAGCACUAAAGGG